rnacentral:tRNA from 1 species
GAGGGUAGAGCUCAGUGGUAGAGCGCAUGUGUAGCAGGCAUGAGGUUCUGGUUUCAAUCCCCAGUACCUCCA